AAUUUGAACAAUCUGGCGACACAGCUGACCGCCGACGUCCACGCACUCUCUCCGCCAACCACCCUGGCAUUUGAAUCAGAGAGGUGCGGGGGGCUGCCUUAAUCGACAACUAUGUCUUCGAUGCCCGGAGAACAGUGGGUUAACUGCCUCGCUCAGGGGAAGAACGGCACUCUGUUCACAACAUUGACAUCAGCAAACCGCCAACCCAUGUGACGUGGGAUUAAUCCUUUAAGAGCACACUUCUUCAGCGUGCCAGUAGCCAUUGAAGGCGAGCAUUUUCCCUCAGGUCAACCUGACGUUUUACCAGGCAGGGGCACACAAAGUACGUUCUAAGCAGUGCAGUACCACUCAGAGCAGUUUGGUCUCUACAAGGGUUCAUCGAGAUGGAAAUACAGGUGUGUGGCCGAAGUUAGGGUGUUUGAUCCACGUCACAUUGCAUUUAUGGAUGACCGAGUGUCCAGCUACAAGGCUAUUCCAGGCUUCAGUAAGGUACCAAGAGAUGAAUGCCUACUUGACCAAUGCAGGACCAGCAGCACUUAGAGCCACAGUGAGUGGGGUGGUGGAUUUGGAUAUCUUCUGGGAUGGACUUCAAGAGAGACUUCCUGUGCUGAGCACCCUGGCCAAACGCUACAAAGAUGCAGUCUCAAACUCAGCUGAUGCUGAGCGAAGCAACAGUAUCUAUAAGCUUGUGUUGUCCAGCCAUAGGCGGUCAACCUCUAACAAUCUACGAUCCUUGGUCUUCAUGUACCACAACCAACAACUCUGCAGUGGAGGAAUUGAUAUGGAGGAGGGUAGGGAAGAUGAAAUGGAGGAUUACAUUGAGAUAUAGGCCUAGAUGAGCUAUGAAAUAGUCACCAACCCUCCUCUAGUUAUGUUCAGAAAAAGAGCUGUGUUUGUUCAAAAAAAUAAACAGCCCAAAAGAUCACUUUGUCUUAAAUAUCACUUUUUUUCUUGGUAAAAUAGCCCUUACACAGCCUGGAGG